rnacentral:Y_RNA from 1 species
AACUUAUCUGGUGAAGAGUCAGUUACAGAUUGAACUCCUUGUUCUACUACUUUCCCCCCUCCUCACUACUGCACUUGACUAGUCUUAA